ACGUACACUCCUACGGGAGGCAGCAGUGGGGAAUAUUGCAUAAUGGGCGCAAGCCUGAUGCAGCCAUGCCGCGUGUAUGAAGAAGGCCUUCGGGUUGUAAAGUACUUUCAGCGGGGAGGAAGGCGAUAAGGUUAAUAACCUUGUCGAUUGACGUUACCCGCAGAAGAAGCACCGGCUAACUCCGUGCCAGCAGCCGCGGUAAUACGGAGGGUGCAAGCGUUAAUCGGAAUUACUGGGCGUAAAGCGCACGCAGGCGGUCUGUCAAGUCGGAUGUGAAAUCCCCGGGCUCAACCUGGGAACUGCAUUCGAAACUGGCAGGCUAGAGUCUUGUAGAGGGGGGUAGAAUUCCAGGUGUAGCGGUGAAAUGCGUAGAGAUCUGGAGGAAUACCGGUGGCGAAGGCGGCCCCCUGGACAAAGACUGACGCUCAGGUGCGAAAGCGUGGGGAGCAAACAGGAUUUGAAACCCGGGUAGUCCCAUGA
rnacentral:rRNA from 1 species